UACGUAGGGGCCGAGCGUUGUCCGGAUUCAUUGGGCGUAAAGAGCGUGUAGGCGGCCGCUUAAGUCCUGCGUGAAAUCUCGGAGCUCAACCUCCGAGCGGUCGUGGGAAACUGGGCGGCUAGAGUGCGGGAGAGGAGAGUGGAAUUCCUGGUGUAGCGGUGGAAUGCGCAGAUAUCAGGAAGAACACCCGUGGCGAAGGCGGCUCUCUGGAACGCAACUGACGCUGAGACGCGAAAGCGUGGGGAGCAAACAGG
rnacentral:rRNA from 1 species